rnacentral:rRNA from 1 species
CCUACGGGAGGCAGCAGUGGGGAAUAUUGGACAAUGGGGGCAACCCUGAUCCAGCCAUGCCGCGUGUGUGAAGAAGGCCCUCGGGUUGUAAAGCACUUUCAGUGAGGAAGAACGCCUGGUGGUUAAUACCCAUCAGGAAAGACAUCACUCACAGAAGAAGCACCGGCUAACUCCGUGCCAGCAGCCGCGGUAAUACGGAGGGUGCGAGCGUUAAUCGGAAUUACUGGGCGUAAAGCGCGCGUAGGUGGCUUGAUAAGCCGGUUGUGAAAGCCCCGGGCUCAACCUGGGAACGGCAUCCGGAACUGUCAAGCUAGAGUGCAGGAGAGGAAGGUAGAAUUCCCGGUGUAGCGGUGAAAUGCGUAGAGAUCGGGAGGAAUAACAGUGGCGAAGGCGGCCUUCUGGACUGACACUGACACUGAGGUGCGAAAGCGUGGGUAGCAAACAGGAUUAGAUACCCCAGUAGUC